UUAUAAAGGGUAGGGAACGUACUCAUAAUCGAUUGGUCGCUGGUUCAAGUCCAGCAGGGACCACCA
rnacentral:tRNA from 1 species